AACGAACGCUGGCGGCGUGGAUAAGACAUGCAAGUCGGACGCUCAUUAUCGGGUAGCAAUAUUCGGUAGUGGGAGUGGCGUAAGGGUGAGUAACACGUGGGUAAUUUGCCGUGAGGUUCGGGAUAACUUGCUGAAAGGCGAGCUAAUACCGAAUGUGGCCAUUAGGCGGCAUCGCUGGAUGGCUAAAGUUGGGGACCGCAAGGCCUGACGCUUCAUGAUAAGCCCGCGUCCUAUCAGCUAGUUGGUGAGGUAACGGCCCACCAAGGCUUUGACGGGUAGCUGGUCUGAGAGGACGACCAGCCACACUGGAACUGAGACACGGUCCAGACACCUACGGGUGGCAGCAGUCGAGAAUUUUUCACAAUGGGCGAAAGCCUGAUGGAGCGACGCCGCGUGGGGGAUGAAUGGCUUCGGCCCGUAAACCCCUGUCAUUUGCGAUCAAACCUGCAGACCUAAUACGUCUGCAGCUGAUAGUAGCGAAAGAGGAAGGGACGGCUAACUCUGUG
rnacentral:rRNA from 1 species